UGCGUAUCCGCCGCUCCUGGUCCCGCUGGGUCUCCGGAGUCAGUGGGAUGUUGGCCAGGCUGCACAGCCCGCCGAUGACCUCCUUCUCGGAUUUCCUGAAGUGCUGCAGGGAGGGCAUCUUCUGGGCGGGCACCACGAAGUACUCCAUGCCGGGCGGGGGGCAGCGGAGGGCUGCGGGGCGCCGCUGGGCGCGGGGCCGGGCGCGGAGCGACUGCGCCGGGGCUGGAGCGGGCGUGUGUGUGUGUGUGUGUGCGUGUGUCUCAAGGCGGGAAACAGCUGGUGCGAGCACAGCAGCGCUCCCUCCCCCGGCGGCGCCGCCUCCGCCAGCCACCGGCCCAUGUAAACAAAGGACGGCGCGGGAUUCGGCGGGGAACGGGGCGGAGGGGGGAGCGCGGGGCCGGAGGGGCGCCGUUGGCUGCGGGCGGGGGAUCCCCGCAGCGCCCCGUCUCCCCGAGCCGCGGGGUGCCGACCCGGCCGGUCCCGUCCCGUGCCGGCCCUUCCGAGCCCGGCCCGUUCCGCCCCGUCCUAUCCCUGUCCUAUCUCGUCCCGUUCCGACCCGCUCUAUCCCUAUCCGAUCCCAUCCGAUCCUACGCUGCCCCUUCCCGCCCCCGGACCGUCCCUGCGCCGUCCCCGUCCCCACCUGUGCCGCCCCGUCUGACCCCGUCGCAUCCCAUCUCAGCCCAUCCC
rnacentral:lncRNA from 1 species